rnacentral:rRNA from 1 species
AUGGUCACAGUUAAAAUGAUAGCUUGGUUGUGUAUACUACUUCAAGAACUUUUCUCUGACAAAGAGGUUGCUGAGCUCAGCCAUGGGUGGCACUGCCCAGUCUCUAUUUUUUCAGUAGUGAAGCUACCACUAUUUUUGGUUUUUAGUUUGAAAACUCCAAAUUCCCCAGAACGUAUUUUAUUUAUUAUUAUAUUUUUUGUUUGUGCUAAACACUACUCCCUCCAAUCCAAAAUAAGUGUCGUGGUUUUAGUUCAAAUUUGUACUAAAACUACGACACUUAUGUUGGAUCGAAGGGAGUACUUGAUUCAUGUUUCUUGCUUUCUACUGUUUGUAAUAUGA